CCUACGGGGGGCAGCAGUGGGGAAUAUUGGACAAUGGGGGCAACCCUGAUCCAGCCAUGCCGCGUGUGUGAAGAAGGCCCUCGGGUUGUAAAGCACUUUCAGUGAGGAAGAACGCCUGGUGGUUAAUACCCAUCAGGAAAGACAUCACUCACAGAAGAAGCACCGGCUAACUCCGUGCCAGCAGCCGCGGUAAUACGGAGGGUGCGAGCGUUAAUCGGAAUUACUGGGCGUAAAGCGCGCGUAGGUGGCUUGAUAAGCCGGUUGUGAAAGCCCCGGGCUCAACCUGGGAACGGCAUCCGGAACUGUCAAGCUAGAGUGCAGGAGAGGAAGGUAGAAUUCCCGGUGUAGCGGUGAAAUGCGUAGAGAUCGGGAGGAAUACCAGUGGCGAAGGCGGCCCUCUGGACUGACACUGACACUGAGGUGCGAAAGCGUGGGUAGCAAACAGGAUUAGAUACCCCGGUAGUC
rnacentral:rRNA from 1 species